GCAUAGUUCAACUGAACCUCAUGAAGAUAAAAAUUCAUCGAAUUUAGUCUUUCGCUCCUAUCUGA